rnacentral:rRNA from 1 species
GACGAACGCUGGCGGCGUGCUUAACACAUGCAAGUCGAACGGAAAGGCCCUGCUUGCAGGGUACUCGAGUGGCGAACGGGUGAGUAACACGUGGGUGAUCUGCCCUGCACUUCGGGAUAAGCUUGGGAAACUGGGUCUAAUACCGGAUAGGAGCUAUCUUUAGUGUGGUGGUUGGAAAGUUUUUUCGGUGUAGGAUGAGCUCGCGGCCUAUCAGCUUGUUGGUGGGGUAAUGGCCUACCAAGGCGGCGACGGGUAGCCGGCCUGAGAGGGUGUACGGCCACAUUAGAACUGGGAGACAGGCCGGAGUCCUGCGGGGGGCAGCAGGGGGGAAUGUUGGACAAUGGGCGCAAGCCUGAGGCAGCGAGGCCGCGUGAGGGAUGAAGGCCUUCGGGUUGUAAACUCCUUUCGCUAGGGACGAAGCUUUUUUGUGACGGUACCUAGAUAAGAAGCACCGGCUAACUACGUG